rnacentral:rRNA from 1 species
GACGAACGCUGGCGGCGUGCUUAACACAUGCAAGUCGAACGCUGAACCCGCUUCGGUGGGGGAUGAGUGGCGAACGGGUGAGUAACACGUGGGCAACCUGCCCCGGCUCUGGGAUAACUCCAAGAAAUUGGGGCUAAUACCGGAUGUGACCGCUGGCCGCAUGGUCUGGUGGUGGAAAGGGUUUCCGGCUGGGGAUGGGCCCGCGGCCUAUCAGCUUGUUGGUGGGGUAGUGGCCUACCAAGGCGACGACGGGUAGCCGGCCUGAGAGGGUGACCGGCCACACUGGGACUGAGACACGGCCCAGACUCCUACGGGAGGCAGCAGUGGGGAAUAUUGCGCAAUGGGCGGAAGCCUGACGCAGCGACGCCGCGUGGGGGAUGACGGCCUUCGGGUUGUAAACCUCUUUCAGCAGGGACGAAGCGCAAGUGACGUUACCUGCAGAAGAAGCACCGGCCAACUACGUG